CAAUAGCCUAGUUCAAAUCCACAUCCAUGAUGAUUUGGUGUGCUUGGAGGUCAUAUUUUUAUAUGACUGCAAUUCCAUUAGAAGUCUUCUCUGUCAAAGAUCAUGGGUUUUGAAGAAAUUAGUGGCUGUUGAGUGCGACAAUCUGGUUGAAAUUCAAGGUCUUGAUGGUGCAAAGUUCUUAGAAGAGUUGGAUUUUACAGGAUGCAAAUCAAUGGAGACUUUGCCAGAUUUGACGGGAUGUGAGAAGUUACGAUCUCUAAGAGUUCGAGACUGCAAGAAACUUACUCAACUUCAGGGACUUAAAAAGUUGAAUUUAAUUGAUUUGGAUAUUUCUGGUUGUGACUCAUUGGAAGCAAUACCGAAAUUAUCUGGAUCAAACGUCUUUAGAAAUUAUGAACAAGAGUUGUCUUUUGACUCAUGGAGUGAUGCUUCCUGAACAGAGGGUUUUGUACUUUCCUAAAUUGCUAGUCUUACAUAAUUGAAGGAGUGGGGGAGUUGGCCGUAGAAGCUGACAUGAUGCUUUAGCCAAGAUCAAGAUGCAGACCCUAAUGUCAAUAGAAGGCAUGGAGGUUGAUGAAUUUCUGCUACUCAUUAUUGUAUACUAUGCCCAGAAUUUCCCAGUGUCCAAUGUUUAUAUUUUCUUUGAAAAAAUCUAUGGCCAUUUUGAGUUACUUUGUAAGUUCUAUUGUAUGUCAAAUUUGAUAGAUAUCCUGUUUGGGACAA